rnacentral:tRNA from 1 species
GCCCGGAUGGCGUAAUUGGUAAACGCGGUGGACUCAAAAUCCAUUGCUCGAAAGGGCGUGCGGGUUCGAGUCCCGCUCCGGGCA